AUGUUACCCCACAUGUGCUCUGGUUGCUUCCGCUUCAUCUCACGCUGCCUCAACCACAGCAGCGGGAGAGUUGAGCCGUCUGCCUCAAGCUACAGUAGGAGAGCCGCCUCGCAUUUGCUGCUAAGCCGCUGCCUCUCGAGCUCUGGAGAGACUGGUUUAUCAAUUUGCAUGGAUGACUUAAUGAUGAAGAAAGGAAAGAAAUAUCUGCCAUACAUGCAUGAGAAGACAAAAGCAACAAGUUCCAUCAGUCUCUCCUAUCACUGCUCGUGCGAAAGAUUUCACGGUCAAGUACUAGUCGCAGACCAAAAGACUACGUACAGAGAACUCAAUCAUCCUAGGCACUUGAAGAUAGGAGAACCAGUACUACUACUCCUCUCAGUAUGGCACGGUUUUCAAGGGAACCAAAAGAGACGUGUUGGCAUAUUUCAGUCUCCAAUCACUAUCUUUGCACACAUCAGAGCAAUUCUUCUGUCAAAAGCCAAAGCAGUGUUAUGCAUUAUCCAGCACAGUCAUCCGACAAAAAAUACCAGGUGUUACUUUUCCUAUGAAUUUCAUCAAUACAUGUUUUAUUCUUUUAAGAGCAAUUACUCUGGGUUGGUGAUAUUUGAUGCAGGACAAUUGUUCGCUACAUCAACACGACGUGGUUGA
rnacentral:rRNA from 1 species